AUUGAACGCUGGCGGCAUGCCUUACACAUGCAAGUCGAACGGUAACAGGUCUUCGGUUGUUGACGAGUGGCGAACGGGUGAGUAAUACAACGGAACGUGCCCGAUCGCGGGGGAUAACGAGGCGAAAGCUUUGCUAAUACCGCAUACGAUCUACGGAUGAAAGCGGGGGAUUUUCGGACCUCGCGCGGACGGUGCGGCCGAUGGCAGAUUAGGUAGUUGGUGGGAUAAAAGCUUACCAAGCCGACGAUCUGUAGCUGGUCUGAGAGGAUGAUCAGCCACACUGGGGCUGAGACACGGCCCAGACUCCUACGGGAGGCAGCAGUGGGGAAUUUUGGACAAUGGGCGAAAGCCUGAUCCAGCCAUGCCGCGUGCAGGAUGAAGGCCUUUGGGUUGUAAACUGCUUUUGUACGGAACGAAAAGCCUCUUUCUAAUAAAGAGGGGUCAUGACGGUACCGUAAGAAUAAGCACCGGCUAACUACGUG
rnacentral:rRNA from 1 species